AAAGGUCGUAACAAAGGUCUCCGUUGGUGAAACCAGCGGAGGGAUCAUUACUGAGUACUACACUCUCUACCCUUUGUGAACUAUUAUACCUGUUGCUUCGGCGGCGCCCGCAAGGGUGCCCGCCGGUCUCAUCAGAAAUUCUCUGUUUUCGAACCCGACGAUACUUCUGAGUGUUCUUAGCGAACUGUCGAAAACUUUUAAACAACGGAUUCUCUUGGCUCCAGCAUCGAUGAAGAACGCAGCGAAAACGCGAUAUGUAAUGUGAAUUGCAGAAUUCAGUGAAAUCAUCGAAUCUUUUGAACGCACAUGGCGCCUUCCCAGUAUCCCUGGGAGGCAUGCCUGUCCGAGCGUCGUUUCAACCCUCGAGCCCCUGUGGCCCGGCGUUGGGGAUCUGCCACGGCAGGCCCCUAAAAACCAGUGGCGGACCCGAAGGGCCCUCUCCUUUGCGCAGUAGCAUUCGCCUCGCAUCGGGAGUCCUCGGCGUCCUGCCUCUAAACCCCCCAACAAGCCCGCUUCGGCGGCACCAAGGUUGACCUCGGAUCAGGUAGGAAUACCCGCUGAACUUAA
rnacentral:rRNA from 1 species